rnacentral:rRNA from 1 species
UACGUAGGUGGCAAGCGUUGUCCGGAUUUAUUGGGUUUAAAGGGCGCGUAGGCGGUCCUGAUCGUCGGAUGUGAAAGGCCUGGGCUCAACCUGGGAACUGCAUCCGAUACGGCGGGACUGGAGUGUGGGAGAGGUUGGUGGAAUUCCCAGUGUAGAGGUGAAAUUCGUAGAUAUUGGGAAGAACACCGGUGGCGAAGGCGGCCAACUGGACCACAACUGACGCUGAGGCGCGAAAGCGUGGGGAGCAAACAGG